GAUGAACGCUGGCGGCGUGCCUAAUACAUGCAAGUCGAGCGAACAGACGAGGAGCUUGCUCCUCUGACGUUAGCGGCGGACGGGUGAGUAACACGUGGAUAACCUACCUAUAAGACUGGGAUAACUUCGGGAAACCGGAGCUAAUACCGGAUAAUAUAUUGAACCGCAUGGUUCAAUAGUGAAAGACGGUUUUGCUGUCACUUAUAGAUGGAUCCGCGCCGCAUUAGCUAGUUGGUAAGGUAACGGCUUACCAAGGCAACGAUGCGUAGCCGACCUGAGAGGGUGAGCGGCCACGCGGGAACUGAGACACGGUCCAGACUCCUACGGGAGGCAGCAGUAGGGAAUCUUCCGCAAUGGGCGAAAGCCUGACGGAGCAACGCCGCGUGAGUGAUGAAGGUCUUCGGAGCGUAAAACUCUGUUAUGAGGGAAGAACAAAUGUGUAAGUAACUAUGCACGUCUGGACGGUACCUAAUCAGAAAGCCCCGGCUAACUACGU
rnacentral:rRNA from 1 species